rnacentral:lncRNA from 1 species
GGAGAAACUUGUCCCAUGUGCAGGAUUUCUCAAGGCAGACAUAGACAGAAAACACUUUUCUUUCACUUCUUUCUUUAAUUUUUUGUUUACUGACCUUUAAAAGAUUCUUUUAAAAAUAUUUUUUGAUUAGUUUUCCAGAUUAAGGGUAUGAAUAAUCAAAUGACUAUAUGGGACGGAAGUGAGGUAAGGCAUUCAAGACAGUCAGAUCUUUGGUGUCUGAUCCUGGGCCCAUUUUAAUGUGGUAUCAAAUUGAAUUUUUAAAUAAACAUAUAUGUAUGUCUUUUAACAUACUCUCUAGGCCUUGGAGAUAGAAAAAUGAAAACAACUCCUGAUUUUUAAGUGGUGCACAGUCCAAUAAAGGAUUAGACAUAAGAAGAAGUGGGUCAUGUGGCCUCGUUCAAUCAACUAAAGGUCUUAAGAGCAAAAUUGGAAGUUUCUGGAGAAAAAGGUAUUCUACCAAAUACUAUAAGAGAAAUCCUGCUCGAAUUUCUAGUUUGCUGGCCUGCCCUACAAAUGUCAGAUUCAACACUGUAACUUUUAACUCCUGUCUGAGUCUCCAGCUGACCAGCCUGCCCUACUGAUUUUGGACUUGCUAGUUCCCACAAUCAUGUGGUAGUUAAAAUAAAGUUUAUCCUAUAUAUCUGUAUUUAUGUCUAUAUUAUCUUGGAUCUGUUUCUUUAGAGUACCCUGGCUGAUACAGAAUGUAUUAAUGAAUUGAGGAUGUUCUGUACAUAUUUUAUCCCAAGAAUUUGGAGAAAUACUAUAAAUAAGGAAAUGAAAG